GGGUCAGUAGGUUGGUCGUGCCACCGGUACGUACUGGUCUCACUGAUUCCUCCUUCCUGAAGAACCGUAAUGCCAUUAAUUUGGUGUUGCGGGGAAACAGGACUGUUACUAUGAAAAAAUUAGAGUGUUUAAAGCAAGCUAACGCUUGAAUACAUUAGCAUGGAAUAAUGAAUUAGGACGAUCGAUCCUAUUUUGUUGGUUUCUAGGAUUGACUUA
rnacentral:rRNA from 1 species